AGCUUUGCGCAGUGGCAGUAUCGUAGCCAAUGAGGCUUAUCCGAGGCGCGAUUAUUGCUAAUUGAAAUCUCCCUUUCUCUUCUAGGUGAUUCUGAGCGAGGAAGUCCCCCAAUUUUUCACUUCGCUAUAUUGAG